UUGACACAUAUUGGGAACGGCCCCAUUAGAUAGUUGCAUCUGCACCUUGGAAAGGACAUUGGAGUUCCAGGUACAGUUUAGCAUUGCCUGAACAGCACCAUCAUUAUCAACACUACCACGUAAGAAAAGAGGCUCUCCGCCAAACAUCGUGCUAAAAGAGUAAGGAGGUAAAACCUGACUUCCUAAAGCAAAGGCAUGAGAUACGGUAAACCAAGGACUGG